rnacentral:rRNA from 1 species
AUUGAACGCUGGCGGCAGGCCUAACACAUGCAAGUCGAGCGGAUGAAGGGAGCUUGCUCCUGGAUUCAGCGGCGGACGGGUGAGUAAUGCCUAGGAAUCUGCCUGGUAGUGGGGGAUAACGUCCGGAAACGGGCGCUAAUACCGCAUACGUCCUGAGGGAGAAAGUGGGGGAUCUUCGGACCUCACGCUAUCAGAUGAGCCUAGGUCGGAUUAGCUAGUUGGUAGGGUAAAGGCCUACCAAGGCGACGAUCCGUAACUGGGCUGAGAGGAUGAUCAGUCACACUGGAACUGAGACACGGUCCAGACUCCUACGGGAGGCAGCAGUGGGGAAUAUUGGACAAUGGGCGAAAGCCUGAUCCAGCCAUGCCGCGUGUGUGAAGAAGGUCUUCGGAUUGUAAAGCACUUUAAGUUGGGAGGAAGGGCAGUAAGUUAAUACCUUGCUGUUUUGACGUUACCAACAGAAUAAGCACCGGCUAACUUCGUG